UUAUACCAUCUUGCGAGACUGA
rnacentral:miRNA from 1 species